rnacentral:tRNA from 1 species
GUGGGUAUAGCUUAGUGGUAGAGUGCACGCCUAGCAUGCAUGAAGUCCUGGGUUCAAUCCUUAGUACCUCCG